GGCAAUCACUGUCACACAUGAAAUUCCAAUUUUGCCCUUAAGAAGAGGACAAAAUAUUGAAGAAAGAAUUGGGAACCCAGGGGUAAAUUUGGAAUUUCAUGUGGCGUGGCAGUGAUUAAGUGGGGAGAGGGGCGAAAUUUUAAAUGAUUAACAAUUGCAAGGCUAAAUUGCCAGGAUUAGCAAUUACAGGGACGAAUUUUUAAACGACGCCUAAUUGCAAGGACUAAUCACAUCAUUAAGCU
rnacentral:lncRNA from 1 species